rnacentral:misc_RNA from 1 species
UCUACUCCUGUUUCUGGGCAUGCUCCUGGCCCAUCCCCUACCCCUGCCAUGUCCCAUCCCCCAUCACAGGUAAAUUAUAAUUAUGGGCAGCCACAUGGUCCAGAUUAUGGGCAUCAAGCUCCUUAUUCCCAGGCGGUACCUUCUCAGCAGAGCUAUGGGCAUGGAUAUGAUGAACCAAAGUAUGACAAUCAUGCUCCAAUGCAGCAUCCUUAUGGACAUGGAAGUUCCCAACCAAUGUAUCCACAAGCCAGCAAUCAACCAGGCUAUGGGGCCCAGCAGCAGUAUGGAAAGCAACCAUCAUAUGGCAUGCCAUCGCAGGGACCACCUCCCCAAUCAUAUGGCCCUCCUAGGCCUAGUCAACCUGGUGAUAUGCCUUAUCAAGGUCCCGUUCAAUCCAGUCAAUCAUAUGGUCCAAAUGUGCCAC